rnacentral:rRNA from 1 species
GACGAACGCUGGCGGCGUGCUUAACACAUGCAAGUCGAACGGAAAGGCCCUGCUUUUGUGGGGUGCUCGAGUGGCGAACGGGUGAGUAACACGUGAGUAACCUGCCCUUGACUUUGGGAUAACUUCAGGAAACUGGGGCUAAUACCGGAUAUGAGCUCCUGCUGCAUGGUGGGGGUUGGAAAGUUUCGGCGGUUGGGGAUGGACUCGCGGCUUAUCAGCUUGUUGGUGGGGUAGUGGCUUACCAAGGCUUUGACGGGUAGCCGGCCUGAGAGGGUGACCGGCCACAUUGCGACUGAGAUACGGCCCAGACUCCUACGGGAGGCAGCAGUGGGGAGUAUUGCAGAAUGGGCGGAAGCCUGAUGCAGCAACGCCGCGUGCGGGAUGACGGCCUUCGGGUUGUAAACCGCUUUCGCCUGUGACGAAGCGGGAGUGACGGUAAUGGGUAAAGAAGCACCGGCUAACUACGUG